rnacentral:rRNA from 1 species
UACGGGAGGCAGCAGUGGGGAAUAUUGGACAAUGGGCGAAAGCCUGAUCCAGCAAUGCCGCGUGAGUGAUGAAGGCCUUAGGGUUGUAAAGCUCUUUUACCCGGGAUGAUAAUGACAGUACCGGGAGAAUAAGCUCCGGCUAACUCCGUGCCAGCAGCCGCGGUAAUACGGAGGGAGCUAGCGUUGUUCGGAAUUACUGGGCGUAAAGCGCACGUAGGCGGCUUUGUAAGUUAGAGGUGAAAGCCUGGAGCUCAACUCCAGAAUUGCCUUUUGAUACUGCAUGGGCUUGAAUCCAGGAGAGGUGAGUGGAAUUCCGAGUGUAGAGGUGAAAUUCGUAGAUAUUCGGAAGAACACCAGUGGCGAAGGCGGCUCACUGGACUGGUAUUGACGCUGAGGUGCGAAAGCGUGGGGAGCAAACGAGGGAUUAGGAUACCCGU